AUUGAACGCUGGCGGCAGGCCUAACACAUGCAAGUCGAACGAGCGGCGGACGGGUGAGUAAUGUCUGGGAAACUGCCCGAUGGAGGGGGAUAACUACUGGAAACGGUAGCUAAUACCGCAUACCAUCGGAUGUGCCCAGAUGGGAUUAGCUAGUUGGUGGGGUAACGGCUCACCAAGGCGACGAUCCCUAGCUGGUCUGAGAGGAUGACCAGCCACACUGGAACGUAGACACGGUCCAGACUCCUCCGGGAGGCAGCAUUGGGGAAUAUGGCACAAUGGGCGCAAGCCUGAUGCAGCCAUGCCGAGUGUAUGAAGAAGGCCUUAGGGUUGUAAAGUACUUUCAGCGGGGAGGCGUUACCCGCAGAAGAAGCACCGGCUAACUCCGUGCCAGCAGCCGCGGUAAUAC
rnacentral:rRNA from 1 species